UGGCRGUUCCUGAGAGCCCGGAGUCAGGAAAUUUGAAGGAUGCCUUCUUUUGCCUCCCUCUCCAUGAAGCCAGCCAGAAAAUAUUCGCUUUUGAAUGGGAAAGCCCUAAAAGCGGGCGUAAAACCCAGCUCACCUGGACAGUGUUGCCUCAAGGGUUCAAGAAUAGUCCUACCAUAUUUGGAGAUCAACUUGCCAAGGACUUAAGAAUCCUGGGAGGUCCCAGCAUCAGAAAGAAAACUGUUGCAGUAUGUGGAUGACCUCUUGAUAGCUACCAAGACUGAAGAGGCCUGUCUUACCUGGACGGUAAAUCUGCUAAAUUUCCUAGGACUGCAGGGAUACCAGGUUUCCAAGAAAAAGGCCCAAGUAAUGAAAAAAUAAA